GAUUCUGUCACAGACAGGUCCUGUCUGAUUCACUGACAGCCCUGGGGGAAGGGAGGUAUAUCAUGACCUGCUCCUCUCCUACUCCCUGGGCUUGAGUCACUCCUACUGAGUCAGCUCCGGGGAGUAAAGAUGAAGCAAGAAGCUGACAUCACACCAUAUCAAGCUAGAAGGCCUACUGGGGCUUCCAGUGUGACAUGCGGCAGAUUUCUCUGUACAAAGGUUGCAGUCCUGAAAAGACAAAGCUAAUCUACUAACAGUGUCAUCAUGUGGGGGAGGGUGUGAUACCUAAAUCACUCUCUCCUUUUAGCUCCCCCAUUCUAUACCAAAAUAUUUGCCAUUUGGUUACAAAUGGGAGGACAAACUGCCUGGGCAGAGUUCCCCACCUAGGCUGAUAAAAUGGCUUUGAAGCGGCAGGCUUUGAGGAGCAGUGGUGGAAAAUGUGAAAAAUCAGCACAAAGUCUUCUGACUGUGGGAGAGAGUGUAAAGGAUUCCUCAUAGUAAGAAAGAGAACACUGUGAGAGCUGAGCAGAGAACAACUCUGCAGGGAGACCAUGGGCAGGAAGAGAACUGUACAUGCUGCCCCUGAGCCUCUUCUUUGAGGCCCGACCUCAUCCUUGGGAGCCCCUCUACUGGUGUAUCAGAUAAUGCAGGAGUGCCUGGGAACAUAGUAUCUCCUUCCUCUCCUGGAUCUAGAGACCCAAGAUAAGGAGUCAGGUUGGAAGAACGGCAGCUACAGAACCCACCCUAAAUGAUGUUUGACUCCAAGAUGAGACAGCUAUCCAACCCUUCAUGUUCCACUAGAAUCUGGAUGACUCUUCUUGUUCUGCAGCAACUUCUCUUCAUGACCCAGGGCUCUGCUGCCAAGCUCAACCAGAUAUGAAAACGGUUCAUUCUAGUUCUGACAACAGUUUUGGCUUUGCCUGUGCAUGGAUGUGGAAGCUUAGAUGGCCAUAGCCUGGGCCGUUCUUCCCCACAUGGCUUCUGACAGCUGGGGACCUCGGGAAGUAGAUAUUGAGAAAUAACCAAGGUAGUUCAGCUGAAUGAUUAUGAGCACCAGCUGGAGAUUUGAGUCCUGGUCUGACAUUCACUAGUUGAGGGACCUUGGGCAAAACAUCUAAUCUUUCUAAGCCUCAGUUUCCUCGCUGGUAAAAUAAUACCUGUCUCUCAGCAUGGUUGUGAGGAUUAAAUGUAAAGUACUUGACAAGAUGCCUGGCAUAUAAGUGCUGAAUAAAUGUUAGCACUUUUAGCUUUACCAUUAUUAAACUAUCCUAACAAAAUUCCAAAUUUCCAG